rnacentral:rRNA from 1 species
GUAGGUGGCAAGCGUUGUCCGGAAUUAUUGGGCGUAAAGCGCGCGCAGGUGGGUUCUUUAAGUCUGAUGUGAAAGCCCCCGGGCUCAACCGGGGAGGGUCAUUGGAAACUGGGGAACUUGAGUGCAGGAGAGGAAAGUGGAAUUCCACGUGUAGCGGUGAAAUGCGUAGAUAUGUGGAGGAACACCAGUGGCGAAGGCGACUUUCUGGCCUGUAACUGACACUGAGGCGCGAAAGCGUGGGGAGCAAACAGGAUUAGAUACCCUGGUAGUCCACGCCGUAAACGAUGAGUGCUAAGUGGUUUGGGGGGUUUCCCGCCCCUCAGUGCUGCAGCUAACGCAUUAAGCACUCCGCCGUGGGGAGUACGGUCGCAAAGACUAG